AGUGCAAUUUCUGGAUCAUAUGGCAAUUGUUUACCUUUUUAAGGAACCACCAAAAUGUUUUCCAUACAAUCUGUACCAUUUUGCAUCCCCACCAGGAGU
rnacentral:pre_miRNA from 1 species